AAAGAAUUUGUGUCGAUUUUAGGUGUUAAAGAAACCGAUUUAUCGGUUAAAUUGUCAGAAAUAAACCGAGCAGUAAUUUGGUGACAGAAUUGUGUGCAAACGGAAACUUAAUAAAAAUCCAUAUUUAUCGAGAGAAUAAUCGGGGAAAAUCAAUUGUGACGUCCUUAUGGCAAGAGUUAACAUCGUCCUUAAAUGCUACUGGUCCACCAAACAAAGAGUUAAGAGAUUGGAAAAAGGCAUGGACCGAGUGGAAAAGCGGUGUAAAAAGAAUUCAGCACACAACAAAGCUGAAGGACGGGCAACUGAUGGUGGACCCUGUACAAAGCAUACAUGCCGAGUUGUGGAGUGGACCAAGCGGUGGACGGUGUGGUGAGAAUAUCGUUUGGCCUCACAGAUGAUGCCUCUGACGAAACAGACGAUAUGCCGUCUACUUCAAGAAGAAGAAGAAGCGAAAUUCCACACACGCAUACAAAUAAAAGGCCAAGGACGGAAAAUAUUUCGUGGAAAAAGAGAAAUGCACAAAAAAAUUGAUGACCUAUUUAAAGCAGCAGUUUGAGGAAAAUAUAUCGGGCGAUAAAAAAUGGUAAUGAAUCGAUGGCUAGUGCUCUGAUACAAGAGAUUUAAAAAAGUCCUGCGAUUUGUUAACUGCCAUGCAAGAAAAAAAUUAAAUUAAAAAAAAGCUAGAACUUGAACUUUUAAAGUUCGAGCGUCAAAAACAAAAGUGAAGACUGUCCUGUACAAAUAGUUUAAUAAAGUGUUUUUAUGUGUUUU